rnacentral:rRNA from 1 species
UGAUGGUGUUCAAAUUCCGCAUGUUAUUUGAACUAAAGAUUUAUCGGUAACGGAUGGGGAUGCGUGACAUUAGGUAGAUGGCGGGUAACGGCCCACCAUGCCCACGAUGUCUAGGGGUUCUGAGAGGAAGGUCCCCCACACUGGAACUGAGACACGGUCCAGACUCCUACGGGAGGCAGCAGUGAGGAAUAUUGGUCAAUGGUCUGACGACUGAACCAGCCAUGCCGCGUGAAGGUCACGGCCCUAUGGGUCUUAAACUUCUUUUGCGAGGGAGCAAUAAGGUCUACGUGUAGUCCGAUGAGAGUACCUCGCGAAUAAGCAUCGGCUAACUCCGUG